CCUACGGGUGGCAGCAGUGGGGAAUAUUGCACAAUGGGGGAAACUCUGAUGCAGCGACGCCGCGUGAAGGAUGAAGUAUCUCGGUAUGUAAACUUCUAUUUGCAGGGAAGAAAAUGACGGUACCUGACUAAGAAGCCCCGGCUAACUACGUGCCAGCAGCCGCGGUAAUACGUAGGGGGCAAGCGUUAUCCGGAUUUACUGGGUGUAAGGGGAGCGUAGGCGGCAUGGCAAGUCAGAUGUGAAAACCCGAGGCUCAACCCCGGGACUGCAUUGGAAACUGUCAGGCUAGAGUGUCGGAGAGGCAAGUGGAAUGCCUGGUGUAGCGGUGAAAUGCGUAGAGAUUAUGAAGAACACCAGUGGCGAAGGCAGCUUGCUGAACUAUUACUGACGUUGAGGCACGAAAGCGUGGGGAGCAAACAGGAUUAGAUACCCUAGUAGUC
rnacentral:rRNA from 1 species